AGGGGGGGCCACUGACUGUUCUGCCCUGGUGCCUGGAAUUGCUGUCGGUGGGCCUGGCCACAGCUGCUGAAGCUGUUGCUGAGGGGGAGCCAUCCAGGGGUCGCCUACGGACACCACCACCAGGCUUGCCACCCAGAGAUUCACUGAUGUCAGAAUGAAUCUGCAGAGAUCCUGAAAGAAUAGCUCAGAGGGCCUAACUGAGGCUUGGACCUGGAUGGGAGCAAAUGGUUCAGACUGAAUUUGGACUAGAUCAAAACAAUGCUGGUGAGAUGAGAGAGAAAGGCUCAUCUAGAAGAACGGAAGCAGACUGUACCUGCCCUUUCACUUGGUGGCCUCUUGGACCUGAACUGGGAGGAGUUCUUGGCUCCAAGAGACCAGCAAGUCUGACACUGAGGGACUGCUCUCCUUGAAGGUUGCUCUGUCCCACGUGCUUAACACUGGCAUACUUUUUCUGAGUAUGGUCUUUGGAUACAGGAGAUAAGACACUCUCCAAGACCUUCCCCCGUUGCAGUGUCCCAGAGCUCAGGUUACAGCACAAGCCCGAACGUCUACACAGCAAUUUUUAGCUCCGCAGCCCAAGUCCUGUGAGUCAGAGUCAACUGAUACAGGCCAACCGCAGCCAUGCCACAGGUCUUCUAUUCCAGUGUAGACACUCACCUAGAGGCUAGCAUAGCUCCUGGCAGAAAGAUCUGCACCAUAUUCUGGAGUUUUGCCUCUUCUUUUUCAGAAGAACCUAUCUAUGCACAUAACUACAACAAAAGAUAUACUCAUUCACACAAAGUGGGUAUGUGAGAUGGGGGAGGGAAUCAAGAAGGAUUUUUCUCCUAUUCUGAGAUAUCCCACUUAGAAUAUUACACUGGGUUCUCCUAAAAGUCCCAAUAGUUUAUUCCUGUCCAACAUCUGCACACAUGCCCCUCCCUGACUGUUUCAGUCAGGAAGGAAGCAUUUAUUAUUUAUUUUGGUUUAUAAUACACAAUGGGAAAAUGUAUCUAUGUUUAUCUAAAAAAAAAAAAAAUUCUUCUAGUAAAUAAGAUCCACAGAUCCAUUACAAUGGAUACUUCAGCCUGCUUGCAGUUCGGGAGCAGAACCAGACCUGUCAGUCACUGGCAGUAAGGGAAUGCCCCAAUGCUUAAGUCCUCCAGUUGAGACAACUUCCAGAGCCAGGAUAAUUCAAUUCCACUUUCCUAAAUUACAGGUUGUUCUAAGUAUAUUUUGAGGGAAAAGCACAACAAUUUAUGCUAUGGCAGAGCAUGGGAAAUUCCUCUUAAUGAAACAAACUCAGGUCUUCGGAUGUCAAUUACCAUUUCUAUUCUGAAUGUUCCAUUUAUCUCCAGGGUGGUCCAGAUCUGUGAAUCUUACAUUCAUGAUUUUAUAGACCUCUAUCAUAUCUUCCCUCCUCCAUGAUGAUAUUUCCUGUCUUAUUACCCAUCCCUUUCCUAAUGGUUCCUAACAUUCUGUUAGCUUUUUU